rnacentral:lncRNA from 1 species
AAGACUCUAUAAAAAGCGAGCCUCUACACAAGUUUAAAGGGUGAGUCAUUGAAUCAACAGUGAUUCAUAUAUAGAGAGUUAGAGAGAGAUACAGUGAGUGGGAAAGUCUUCACCACUAAGGGAUCAUCUCUAGAGGGAUUGUCAUCGGGGUAACCAUUCUCGGCCCGGGAACUUGAAGGGUGGAAUCAACAAGAAGACUCUAGUAGCCUUCUAAAAGGAGACGUGCAAAGAAGAUCUUGGUCGUGAUCGUGGGCUGUAAGAUAAACAAGAGAUCCAGGUAAUUUCAAUAUUCCGCUGCAUAAGGUAAACGCUGUGAUCUUUUGUUUGCUAUUUAACAUUGGUAUUAGAGCCACGAUCUACUUGUUUUUGCCCUCAUGGAUGUGAUUUCAUGAUUUUCUAUGCCAUCAUUUGCAUGUUGGAUGAGUUCGCAAUGAAAAAUUUGCAUAACUUAUAUAUUCGGAUUUCUCAUUUGAGGUUCCAUUAUGGCAUGUUUUUGGUUAAACUCUUACAUGUUUAUGUUCCUUAUGAUGUCAGUAACAUGAUAGUAAAAUAUCUUGAAGUUUCGUGCUCCAUAGAGGGAGAAAUUUGAAACACUAAUUUUUGAUUGCUCAUACGAGGCCGAAUGUUUCAGACUAUUUUUAAAAUGAUAAACAUCAUUUAUUGAAACAAUUGAUUUGAUGGUUUGAUAGAGGAUUUCAAGAGCUUUAAAACGACAUAUCAUAUGCGUAAUUUCAACUUGAAUUGAGUAAGUUAUGGCUGAUAGAAUAUGUGGUCGAGAUAAGGCAAAACCAAAAAAAACAUGGGGCUGGAGGU